rnacentral:lncRNA from 1 species
CUUGGAACUUCCAUUUCUUCAACUGUAAUAUAAGGAAAAUAAUAGUACUGUUACCGGAAUGGGGUCCUGAUCAAGACUCCAGAGAUGGUUCUUGGAUCUCACACAAGAAAGAAUUCAAGGCAAAUUCAUAUGGCAAAGUGAAAAUCUCUUGCCACUCAGCUAGUAACCCAGUUUUUCUCUCCACCGCCACCUGCUCAGCUUUUAAUGUAUGAAACUUCUAGGGAAGUUUCAGAUGGGAGAAAUAAAGGAGUUAAAAACAUGCUGCCUCAAAAUAUGCUCCUCUGGCAUAUUGACUAUUAUGAAAUAAAG